AUUGAACGCUGGCGGCAUGCUUUACACAUGCAAGUCGAACGGCAGCGCGGGGCAACCUGGCGGCGAGUGGCGAACGGGUGAGUAAUACAUCGGAGCGUACCCAGAAGUGGGGGAUAACGUAGCGAAAGUUACGCUAAUACCGCAUACGUUCUACGGAAGAAAGUGGGGGAUCUUCGGACCUCAUGCUUUUGGAGCGGCCGAUGUCUGAUUAGCUAGUUGGUGAGGUAAAGGCUCACCAAGGCGACGAUCAGUAGCUGGUCUGAGAGGACGACCAGCCACACUGGGACUGAGACACGGCUCAGACUCCUACGGGAGGCAGCAGUGGGGAAUUUUGGACAAUGGGCGCAAGCCUGAUCCAGCAAUGCCGCGUGAGUGAAGAAGGCCUUCGGGUUGUAAAGCUCUUUUGUCAGGGAAGAAACGGCUGAGGAUAAUACCUUCGGCUAAUGACGGUACCUGAAGAAUAAGCACCGGCUAACUACGUGCCAGCAGCCGCGGUAA
rnacentral:rRNA from 1 species